rnacentral:rRNA from 1 species
GACGAACGCUGGCGGCGUGCUUAACACAUGCAAGUCGAACGGUAAGGCCCUUCGGGGUACACGAGUGGCGAACGGGUGAGUAACACGUGGGUGAUCUGCCCUGCACUUCGGGAUAAGCCUGGGAAACUGGGUCUAAUACCGGAUAGGACCCUGGGAUGCAUGUCCUGGGGUGGAAAGCUUUUGCGGUGUGGGAGGGGCCCGCGGCCUAUCAGCUUGUUGGUGGGGUGAAGGCCUACCAAGGCGACGACGGGUGGCCGGCCUGAGAGGGUGACCGGCCACACUGGGACUGAGAUACGGCCCAGACUCCUACGGGAGGCAGCAGUGGGGAAUAUUGCACAAUGGGCGCAAGCCUGAUGCAGCGACGCCGCGUGAGGGAUGACGGCCUUCGGGUUGUAAACCUCUUUCAGCACAGACGAAGCGCAAGUGACGGUAGGUGCAGAAGAAGGACCGGCCAACUACGUGCCAGCCGCCGCAGUAA